rnacentral:tRNA from 3 species
GGAGAGGUGGCCGAGUGGUCGAAGGCACGCCCCUGCUAAGGGCGCAGAUGGGAAACUGUCUCGAGGGUUCGAAUCCCUUCCUCUCCGCCA